CUUGCUUAGUAUGUCAAAAUUAAUGCUGAGAGGGGAUGUAGUUUCUGACUCUUUAUGCAUCAGGGUAUAUUCCAUGAAGAGAAUCGAUUAUUAAAGCUUUAGAAACAUGUCAGCAUAAGGCUGAAUGAGUGAAAACCUACCAUGCAUGACUCAAGGCUGGAAACUGGCUGCAAGAUUCUUACUGCCAGGGGAGGGAGUUUCCUGGAACAAUGGGAAUAGUGGGACUGAAAUAAAGACUUAUUGUGUUCAUAGAGCUUGAUCUGUUUGGGAGUGGGACUGGGUGCCAGAGGAUAUCUGUCACAGUCAGAUGAAUGCAAUUAAGAUCCUGAAGUCACAUAGACUGAAAGCACAUGAGGUGAUUACAUUUGGAUUUGUUUCUUGGAGAAGACCCAGAAAAGGAACUCUAAUGGAAAGUCCUGCAAUGGUGAUACCCCUGAGACUCUAUUAACAAGCACCAUUACAUCACUGCUCACUUGAAGAAGAUGUUUUGUAGAUCUGAAUUUUCAAGAGCAAAUAUAUAAAGAUGUGAGAGUCACAAGUACUAAGAUGCAGAACAUCAUCUCUGCUGAAGAACGAAAAGAAAAAUUCAGGUAGGCCAUAAACAAGUCCUGAGAGGUAGAAAAAUAUUAAAAAUAUAUUAUAUUUUUAUAUAUGAAAUAUAUAAAAAAUAUAUUUAUUUCCCAUAUAAAGGAAAAAUCCUCACUUCUGUCUUAUAAUAUCCAGCCUCUUGAACCUGAC
rnacentral:lncRNA from 1 species